GCCGGGUUAGCUCAGUUGAUAGAGCGACGGUCUUGUAAUCCGUAGGUCGUGGGUUUGAGUCCCACACUCGGCU
rnacentral:tRNA from 1 species